rnacentral:lncRNA from 1 species
UUUUUUUGACUGCACCUCUGGCAUUGGAUGUUCCUGGGCCAGGGACAGAACCUGCACCUCAGCAGUGACCCUAGCCACCUGACGAGACACUAGUCCUUAACCACUAUGCCAGAGCAGGAACUCCUAAUAAUUGUGAUUUAAAAAUAUGAAGUAAUGAAAUAUACCAACAGUUGGAAAAUCUGCAUAACUUAGUGAACGAGUAUCUUUUAAAUGGUUGAUACAUGAUAUCAAAAAUUCAUGAAGAGUUGUAAAAGAUAUAUUUAAAGUAUAAGAUAAAUCAACAGAUUGUAAUAUGACAGAGCACACAAAGUUCAUUCCUAUUGUUUUAGAUUCAACAUUGCAACUUACCUUUAAAAACUAGUAUUUGUCAUGUUGAUGUAGCAUCAGGGAAUAAAAUCUAAAAAAGCUAUUAAAAUACUUCUCCAUUUCCCAAUUACAUAUCUGUUUGAAGCCAGAUAUAUAUUUUUAAAUCUACUUCUAUCAAAACAGCAAUUGGGAGUUCCUGGUUUGUUUGGUUUUAUUGUUGUUUCUAGGGCCAUACCCGCGGCAUAUGGAGGUUCCCAGGUGUGGCCCUAUAAAAAGAAAAAAAAAGAAAAAAAAAAAAAAAAAGAGUGUACAGAGAUCCUUUACACCAAAUAGUUCAAAAACCACUUAUGCAGAGAAUUAGGAAGGUACUAACUACUUGUUCUGGAAACUUUGUCUCUCAGACACAUACACACUCUGUGUUGUGGUAGCAGGACCAGCCACAGCUCACACUGACUCCUCAAAAUCUGCUUCUGAGGUUCUUUGCUACAUGUCUUGAAAUAGUUGAAAACAUAAGAGAUACAGGUUGGAUAAGGUAGGUCUUAGAAUGUCAAAACCUGAAAUAUCUGCCAUCUUCUGUUCCAAACAGCCCAUGUUUGAAAUACAAAGUUAAAUUUUCAAUUAAUGAUCACAUGUUAUUCAGUUGGUUGGUGCCCUAGCUUGUUUGUGAAACUGGACCUCACGUCUCUUACGGCUUACGAAUCAGAGCUAGACGCCUGGUAGCCAUAAUUCAGGCUUGGGACUCAGAAAACGAUUUCAGUUAAAUGUGACGUUUGGGCGUGUAUCCAUGAGCACAGGGGAUCAUUUAAUCUAUGAGAGUCAGUGACGGGGACAGAUGAAAGCCGAAGUAUGUCAAAUAAGUGAGCAUAGGAUGACACUUUAGUUCAUGCUUCUCAAGAAGAACCGAAAGACUAGAAAGCCAGGAGAAGGAUGUUUUUUGAAUGCCCACAGUGGUCAUAUUGGGAACCAUUGGGUAACAUUAGGAAGCUCUACUUGAAGUAGAGUUCAGGCACCACAAUAACAUCUUAAUAUAAUUUUACAUAUGACGUUACAUCAUACAAACUCUGUAAAGCAAGUAUUUUCUCCAUUUAUCAACUAGGAAAUAAAGGUCUAGAGACCUGAAAUACGAUUCCAGGAUAACCCAGAUGGAUCCCACAUCAUACAAUUUCGCAUCAAAGGCGGGAUUUGUGACUUCCCACUGUGGCGCAGUGGGUUAAGGAUCUGACAUUGACAUAGCUGUGGCUUGGAUUUGAUCCCUGGCCUGGGAAUUUCUAUAUGCCGUGGGUGUGGCCUCUGCCACAGCCACGGCCAUCCCAGACCUGAGCCACAUCUGGGUAGCUUCAAGGCAACACCCAGAGAGGCCAGGGUUCGUAACCAUAUCCUCAUGGAGACGAGGUCUGGGUUCUUAACCCACUGAGCCACAAUGGGAAUUCCAAAAGAUGGGAUUUGAAUUCAAGGCUUUCGUUAUUAUGAAUCCUCUCCCUAAGAAAAUCUGGUAGAUAAAAUAUUCUAUCCAGGAACUUUCACCUCUGGCUUUAAAUUGUGCUAGCUUCUUCCCCUCUUCUUUAAGGGAGUGGAGGUGGUGAGAAGAAACAGAUAGAAAUGUAUGGAUGUGUAGCUUUGACACUCAUCUAUAGUCAGGGGAUUUUUUUGCUUUAUGCACAUGCACUAGGAGACAAUACAUGUGUUUUUGUUUAAUAAAGACACCCAGCUUUGCAAAACAAUUUCAUUGCUUGAACUGUUAGCACAGAAAGAGUUAAAUUCUGCCAAGCAAAAAGGCAAUCCUGCAUUACAUACAGUAUUCCUAGAAAUUUAGAGCUGAGGUUAAGUGUCCCUGAGAGGUCCCACAGCUAGGCACUUGAUAUACCCCCAUUUCCACCCUUGUCCACAUUUAGUUUAAUUCACACGUUAGGUAAUAUAUUUUAAGUUAUGACGUAGCAUUUAAAAACCGUCAUACCACUGAAAAUCAAGAAGCAGGAAUCUGAUUCAGUUGGAUGAAACCAGACUCUGAAAUUUAAGCCAUUUUCUCAAGAGUUGACCACCUAAGGCAGGGUUCAAACAAAGGCUGAAGGCUUCAAGGAGAAAAUGAGUAAGUGGGUUUCCCCAGAGCGGUGUGAAGUCAUCAGGCCAAGGUAAUACUUCCCAGAGGUGUAACCGCUGUGGGGGGGGGGGGGCGAUGGGGAGACAGAAAUGCAUGGUACUUUGCAGGUCGGCCCCUGGGGGCUGGGUUGGCUGACGCCUGAUAUUGCAGUAAAAUUCUUGGCCUCGAAUCGCAGCCCCUAACACCGCUUUCUGUGCAACGUGUUGAAAAGCAUCGCUCCCAGUUUACUGACGUUUCUGUUUUGACUUGUUUCUUAUUGUACAAGAUACAUGAUAAGGAGUAAGAACCCAGUUUUCAAGGCCUAGUCGAGUUCGAAGGAAGGCCACACCUCAGAGGAAGCUUGGAAGGGAAAGAAAAAGAGAAAAGAAAAGAAAAGAAAAGAAAAGAAAAGAAAAGAAAAGAAAAGAAAAGAAAAGAAAAGAAAAGAAAGGAAAUUUCUUUCAUCCUAACUUUGGCAGAAUCUCCAAAAGCCGAAAUAGUUAAUUUGUAAGCUCUUUCAUUUUUUCCUAAACAGUGCCACCUACUGUCCAUUUGAAGUCAUCGGGAGGCUUGUUGGCAAGGACCAAAGAAAAAGGGGGAAAAGGAACAGAGAAAACUAACAAGGGAAGAAAGAUGAGAACGGGCCAUCAUGAAGCAACAAGUAUUUUGACUCGUUAUCUUCUUAAAAGGCUCGCAAGAAGCCGAAGCCACUUAAUCCAUUCCCUUAGAAAUUGCUUUUCUUGAGCGCGCUAUUUUGGAGUUCUCUAGAGGAUGAUUUUUAUUUUGUUAUAUUUUAUAAUGCUCGCUAUUUGAAUAUUUUUAUGUUAGAGGAUCAGGUUAAGCAAAAAACUUCUGAGUAAAGGGGACUUUUGACAUGUGCC